UUGAGUCUGGAUUUUGACUUUUCUUGUUUUCAACCUCAUCUUUUUGCCAGUCGUUUGGAUUGUUUGCCUGAUCGCCUGACCUCUGCCUGUCUGUUUAUUGAUUUCUGCCUGACCCUUUGGACUUGCUCUUUUAGGUUUAAAUUAUUAACUUGCACUUGCUUCCAUCUCAGCCUCUGUUACGUGACAGGCUUGUUGUGUGAGAAAGCAUAAGGGAGGCAUAGAGGUAACAUUUUCCACCACAGCUACUUAGGGAUCAUAAAAAAUGAAGGCGAUUUUCAGUUGUCUGGUUGUCUUACUCUUUAUAAAUUACAGUGAGGCUUUGAGGUGUUAUGGAUGUGUUGGAAAAGGCUGUUCAGGUAGACAAGAGAAAUGUGGCUCUCUUUUGCGAAAUCCUGUCUGUGCCACCAUAGAUGCCCCAAGAUUUUAUAUGAAAGGAUGCAUGAGUGAGUACAUCUGUAGGGAGCAACAGCAGGCUCCCGGUACCACUGCUACCUGCUGCAGUAACGACUUCUGCAACCGCUAAGAAGGACAUCACCCAUGGUCCCUUUAUGACCAUCACUAGCCAAGAUGUGAAAAUCCAUUAAUCAUUCAUAUUUCAUCUGUAUAAAAUAUAAUGUGUACAUUUCAGGCAUCUGCAUUAAUUGAUUUGUUUUGUUAAAUAAUGGGAAUUUUUAUUUCCAUUAAAUAAAAGAAUUAACUGCA